GCUGGUGUAGCUCAAUAGGAUAGAGCAGGCGACUUGUAAACGUCAGGCUGUGGGUUCGAUCCCCACCCCCAGCACCA
rnacentral:tRNA from 1 species